GACGAACGCUGGCGGCGUGCUUAACACAUGCAAGUCGAACGGAAAGGCCCUGCUUUUGUGGGGUGCUCGAGUGGCGAACGGGUGAGUAACACGUGAGUAACCUGCCCUUGACUUUGGGAUAACUUCAGGAAACUGGGGCUAAUACCGGAUAGGAGCUCCUGCUGCAUGGGGGGGGUUGGAAAGUUUCGGCGGUUGGGGAUGGACUCGCGGCUUAUCAGCUUGUUGGUGGGGUAGUGGCUUACCAAGGCUUUGACGGGUAGCCGGCCUGAGAGGGUGACCGGCCACAUUGGGACUGCGAUACGGCCCAGAAUCCUACGGGCGGCAGCAGUGGAGAAUCUUGCACAAUGGGCGGAAGCCUGAUGCAGCAACGCCGCGUGCGGGAUGACGGCCUUCGGGUUGUAAACCGAUUUCGCCUGUGCCGAAGCGUGAGUGACGGUAAUGGGUAAAGAAGCACCGGCUAACUACGUG
rnacentral:rRNA from 1 species